rnacentral:rRNA from 1 species
UUGACCUCAAAUCAGGUAGGACUACCCGCUGAACUUAAGCAUAUCAAUAAGCGGAGGAAAAGAAACUAACAAGGAUUCCCCUAGUAACUGCGAGUGAAGCGGGAAAAGCUCAAAUUUAAAAUCUGGCGGUCUUGCGGCUGUCCGAGUUGUAAUCUGGAGAAGCGUUUAUCCGCGUCGGACCGUGUACAAGUCUUCUGGAAGGGAGCGUCGUAGAGGGUGAGAAUCCCGUCUUUGACACGGACAACGGUGCUUUUGUGAUGCGCUCUC